GGGCGCGUAGCUCAGUGGAUAGAGCACCAGAUUCCGGUUCUGGGUGUCGGAGGUUCAAAUCCUCCCGUGCUCG
rnacentral:tRNA from 27 species